UUAACUGUCCAAUGUCCACCCGGAGCUGAGAGGAGGAGCUUGCGUGCAGUGCGUGUGAAGAGAGCUAGCGGAGGGGCGGGGGGCGCGCACUGGCCAGGGCCCACGGUUUUGACCUGUCGAUCUGUGCGUAAGAAGAAAGGAAAGGAGGAGGAGGCCCAGAGUAGCGGUUGCCAAGAUGUUCCGGUGUGGAGGCCUGGCAGCGGGUGCUUUGUGGCAGAAGCUGGCGCCCUUGGUGCGGACAGUGUGCGUCCGAGGCCCGAGGCAGAGGAACCGGCUCCCAGGCAACUUAUUCCAGCGAUGGCAUAUUCCUCUAGAACUCCAGAUGACAAGACAACUGGCUAGCUCUGGUGCAUCAGGGGGCAAAAUCGAUAAUUCUGUCUUAGUCCUUAUUGUGGGCUUAUCAACAAUAGGAGCUGGUGCAUAUGCCUACAGGACGAUAAAAGAUGACAAAAAAAGGUAUAAUGAAAGAAUUUCAGGGUUAGGACUAACACCAGAAGAGAAACAGAAAAGAGCCACAUCAUCUGCUGCAGAAGGAGAGGCAGUUCCUCAAGUCAGGAUACCAAGUCAUGUUCCAUUCCUGCUCAUUGGUGGAGGCACUGCUGCUUUUGCUGCAGCCAGAUCCAUCCGGGCUCGGGAUCCUGGGGCCAGGGUACUGAUUGUAUCUGAAGACCCUGAGCUACCAUACAUGCGUCCCCCUCUUUCAAAAGAACUGUGGUUUUCAGAUGAUCCAAAUGUCACAAAGACACUGCGAUUCAGACAGUGGAAUGGAAAAGAGAGAAGCAUAUACUUCCAGCCACCUUCCUUCUAUGUCUCUGCUCAGGACCUGCCUCACAUUGAGAAUGGUGGUGUGGCUGUCCUCACUGGGAAGAAGGUAGUACAGCUGGAUGUGAGAGGCAACAUGGUGAAACUUAAUGAUGGCUCUCAAAUAACAUAUGAAAAAUGCUUGAUUGCCACAGGAGGCACUCCACGAAGUCUGUCUGCCAUUGAUAGAGCUGGAGCAGAGGUGAAGAGUAGAACAACCCUUUUCAGAAAGAUUGGAGACUUUAGAACCUUGGAGAAGAUUUCCCGGGAAGUCAAGUCCAUUACGAUUAUUGGUGGGGGCUUCCUUGGUAGUGAAUUGGCAUGUGCUCUUGGCAAAAAGGCUCAAGCCUUGGGCACAGAAGUGAUUCAACUCUUCCCAGAGAAAGGAAAUAUGGGCAAGAUCCUCCCUGAGUACCUCAGCAACUGGACCAUGGAAAAAGUCAGACGAGAGGGGGUUAAGGUGCUACCCAACGCUAUUGUGCAAUCAGUCGGAGUCAGCGGGGGCAAGUUACUCAUCAAGCUGAAAGAUGGCCGAAAGGUAGAAACUGAUCAUAUAGUGGCAGCUGUGGGCCUGGAGCCAAAUGUUGAGUUGGCCAAGACUGGUGGACUAGAAAUAGACUCAGAUUUCGGUGGCUUCCGGGUAAAUGCAGAGCUCCAAGCACGUUCUAACAUCUGGGUGGCAGGAGAUGCCGCAUGCUUCUAUGAUAUAAAGCUGGGCAGGAGGCGGGUAGAGCACCAUGAUCACGCUGUUGUGAGUGGAAGAUUGGCUGGAGAAAACAUGACUGGAGCUGCUAAGCCAUACUGGCAUCAAUCAAUGUUCUGGAGUGAUUUGGGCCCUGAUGUUGGCUAUGAAGCUAUUGGUCUUGUGGACAGUAGUUUGCCCACAGUUGGUGUUUUUGCAAAAGCAACUGCACAGGACAACCCAAAAUCGGCCACAGAGCAGUCAGGAACUGGUAUCCGAUCAGAGAGUGAGACAGAGGCCGAGGCCUUGGAAAUUGCGAUUCCUCCCAGCAAUUCUGCAGUCCUGCGGGCCCCCACCCAAGGGGAGGACUACGGCAAAGGUGUCAUCUUCUACCUCAGGGACAAGGUGGUGGUGGGGAUCGUGCUGUGGAACAUCUUCAACCGAAUGCCCAUAGCAAGGAAGAUCAUUAAGGAUGGUGAGCAACAUGAAGAUCUCAAUGAAGUAGCCAAACUAUUCAACAUUCAUGAAGACUGAAGCCACCUCCCCUGCCCCUGCAGUGGAAUAGGCAAGCACUUCACUGUCCCUGACAGCUGCUUGGAUGCGUAAAGGAGUAUUUUACAUUCAGCAGACUUCCUUGACUUCUGCAUGUACCUGCCGUGGCCUUUUGCAGCAGCACUUGACCCCUCACCUGUCCUCUGGGAAAGGUCCUAGUCUCUAUGAAGACUUACCUGACCCUUCCAAGCCUGUUCAUUGAGUGCCUACUAUGAACCAGGUGGAUGCCAGAAUAGGAAGAUGGAGAAAACAUGACAACUUCUCUUAAGAACUCCUGAUGCCAGUGAAGAAGGCAGACAUGUGAAUACAGAAGUAUAAAAUAGUGACGUGUGUCCAUAGAAAGACACACAAAACACACCAAGAGUGGAGAUCAACCAGAGCAUCCAUCCUUAGUCAACCACUGCUCUUAGGCCACUUCCUAAAGCAUCACUCAGUCCGUGUCUCCUCACCCCACCCUGAUGAAGAACAUACAGUGACUCCCUGCCACCAUCCACAUCAAGUCCAAAGUCUUCCAUGGCACUCCUGAUCUCAGCCUGCUAUUUCCCAUCCAGCCCUCUGUCUCACGACUUGAAAUGCACAUGUGCGUGCACACAUACACAUCUGAUUUAUUGCCACCUUUAAACUUUUUUUCAUGUUUAAAUGCCAUCUCUAAUCCCUUUUACCUAUCCAAAUCCUAUGGGUAAUCCCACCUUGGUAAUAUGGUACUAGUUGGCUUAGUGCCCAUGUAAGAUUUCAUCCCUGAAUUCCAAUUGCACUUGCUGCCUUUGAAUUUUAUUGCUCUUCUAAGUCGUCCUCUGCAUUAUUAGUGUUUGCUCCCUAAACUGAUUGUAAGCAAUCCUGGAGCAGAGACUUGUUCUCAGGAUGGGGACAAUGUGCCCCACCCCUCAAGACCCUGGCAAAGUGCUGAGCAAACCCUUGGUUUCCUGAUUAGAUGAUACAACUGUAAAACUGAGUGCCCACCUGUAGCCUCUGUUCUCUGUAAUCCAGAUAAUCAGACCCCCUCACUUCACCCACUGCCACUACUUGCCACUUAACCAGGACGCAUUUCAUAUGUGUAGGCCCUCAAGGAUUGCAGGGACCCAUUUCCGCCCACACAGCAAGCAGUGCCAGUUGAGGUUGAGACCUCGAUAGCCCACCUGUGUGAUCAGCUGGGUCACAGCACAGUGCAGUCAGGGCUCGUCACACCCUGCAAGGAAGAGUUGGGGCUUUACCAAAAUCUGAAGUGUUUGGAGCCCACCCAUUGGACUUCAACCUCAUUUUUCUUUGUCAUUUUACAAAUGACAUCUGAUGGCAGCUCAGCACUUCACAAUGACUCUAGCCUUUGCCUAGCCACCUAUAAGGCACAGCAGAUGUCCUCAUACUUUAGCUGGACAGAUGGACCUGAGGGAAGGAAGUGUGUUUGAUUGAAAAGGGUCAGAAUAAGCCUCUUAGUGGAGGAUGAGGUCAACAUACGUGACUUUUUUGUUCUAAUAAACGGCCUGUUUUGGAGACUAGAGGCAUAAAGUAGAAAGGGAUGGGGGUGGGGAAUCCACAGUGACAUACCGCAGGCUGCUUCCUUGAAGGAAAAUAAACAGCUUCUCUAGAGACCCAUUUAUACAAAGGAACUCUCCCCUCCCUUCCACCACUACCCCUUCCCUUUCCCACUCCUCUCAAGUUUGGCUGUUGCAAUAUCCCCUCUGUCCUUCCUGGACUCCACCUAAAGCUAGGCACCCUCGCUGCCCUGGAGAUUGUUGGGCCUCAAUCCCAGUGCCUUGCUUCCUGAGCAGAGAGGAAGUGCUGCUGGGCCCAGGGGUAAAGUGGCACCACCUCUGGCCUCUUUCCCAUCUUAUCAGGGAAUUUCUGGCGAACACAGACACAUGUACACAAAACCACACACAGACACACAUAGCCCAAGCCAGUGAUGACGUUUGCUUGCCUGGCUAGUUCUACAGAUGGGUGUGACUGGGUCAGAUACAGGGAAGGUCUAAAUAUUUAGAUCCUGGACUGCCAAGCCCUAGUUGGGAAACAGGGAUCAUUUCAAAAUGGACAUUUUUGAGAAAGGGAAACACAGUGCCUGACAUCCAGAAGCUGGCCUGGAACUGUCAGAUCAGCCUUGGUGUUGCUACAAACUGGCUUGGCACUGCUAGGCCUAGGCGUUCUCUUGAGCAUAAACUGACUCACAAGACGUUAGCAUUGAACAAAGCCACUCUGACCAUGGUGAACUGACAGAAAAGCAAGACACUUCAUAAUUUUGUGUGAGCACAGACAAAAACAUGAACAUUGCCCAAACCACAGAAAUGACAUGACUGAACACCUCCACAUCCUGGCUAAUCUGAGUGCUGUCUCUUUACCAAAUUCAGUGUUAGCCUCUCUCUAGUCUGCCUGCCUUUUGGAUAAGAUUUAUUUAAGAUACCCAAUCAUGGAAUUAUCCCUACUUCCUGACGGCAUCCAACCCAGAGCAAAGCCUGAUUUCUUCAGCCCCCCAACCCCCAAAUAAUCCAGCCUAGCCCAAAUCAUAUCAUAUGUCAUCUUCCUGAGAUACCCCGUGGUUCCCUAUGGUACGCACUGCACCUCACUGCAGGGAGCAAUAAACCCAACUUGUUCAACCA